UUGAUUACGUCCCUGCCCUUUGUACACACCGCCCGUCGCUGCCUAGAACUGAGCCGUUUCGAGAAUAUUCGGGAUCGCUGGUUUCGGGUCCUUCGGGACACGACUCUGGCAAGAGAACGAACGUAAUCGCAGUGGCUUGAACCGGGCAAAAGUCGUAACAAGGUAGCUGUAGGUGAACCUGCUGCUGGAUCAUUACCUUGUCGAUA
rnacentral:rRNA from 1 species